CUUUCGCCGUGUGACACACGCACGCCACACAUCCGAUUUCUCACGCAAAAAUAAAGAAAAUCUGGCGACCCGGGUUCGAUUCCCGACACGUGGUCCUUUCAGGAUCCCACCCCGACUCUCUCUCCCACUUUCCUGUCACUCUCCCCCCCAAAAAAAGAAAAUCCGAUUUUGGGCCGAGAAUCGUUCGUUCCUUUCCAAACUCUCCGACGGUAGAUGGCGCUAAUGAGCGCCACUGAACUCUAUCCUGCACCCAUAUAUGCUGCAUCCCCGAAGUUAGCGACAAAAGAAGAGAUACCGAAAGAGACAGCGGGAGAAACUACCUCGAGAAGUCUGAUGAGAAUCUGAGCUGAGACUACUUACGAGGCCAAAGAAAAGGACUCACUGUGGAUGAAGACUUUUCUGUAGGACCAAACAGCACUUCGAACAGGAGUGGCAAAGAUGAACCCGCUUACUGUCCGGGUCUUCAUGGGCAGCAAUGUUGUCCACCAGUUUUUGAAUAUGUGCACAACAAGUGGGACGAGAUGUGCGACAGCAAGUGAGAUCUUCACCAAAAUUAACACCGCC